CUUUGCAGGCUCCACCCUCCCUCCCUCUCAUAAACCACCAAUUACUUGUCACCUUCUCCAUCUCAUCUCUCCUCACACACACACACACACACACGCAAUGUCCAAGAACAAGCUCUGCACGCCCCUUUCCACCCUUAUCACUCGCACCCUAACAUCAUCCACCUCCAUUUUCCCCCCUCACGUUAACAAGCUCCCUGUUCUUCAUCGCGCAUCCCCUUCUCCCCACCCCACCUUCGAUCACCCUCACUCUCUCGCGUGUCUCCGAUUUUCCGACAAAACCUUCUGCUCCAAACCUGCGGCGGAAACCCAACGUGGGUGCUGCUGGAGUUGUCGCGCUGUCCCUUGUUCCGCACCUUUUCUCGUCUGCGACUCGUGUCGCUGCGUUCAGCCCAUCGAUGGUUCUGUUGACUACUUUGAAAUAUUCGGGCUGGAGAGGAAGUAUGACAUGGAGGGUGAGAAUUUGGAGGGCAAGUACAAAGAGUGGCAAAAGAAACUGCAUCCUGAUUUAGUACAUUCAAAAUCUCAGAAAGAAAGAGAUUUUGCUGCCGAACAAUCUGCAAGGGUGAUUGAUGCAUACCGUACUCUUAGCAAGCCUUUGUCAAGAGCAAUUUACUUGAUGAAGCUUUAUGGGGUAGAAAUUGAUGAAGAACAGACAAUUUCAGAUCCAGAAUUACUAGCAGAGAUUAUGGAUAUAAGGGAAGCUGUUGAAGAAGCAAGUACCCCUGAGGCUUUGAAUCUUAUUCUCUCUCAGAUGCACGAGAAGAUGCAAAAUUGGUCUAAUGCCUUUAGUCAUGCUUUUCAAAGCCAGAGUUUUGAGGAAGCAAAAUUGGCAAUUAGGAGAAUGACUUACUAUACUCGUGUAAUUGAUGAAGUUGUAAAGAAGCUUUGAUAUAGGAGCUGAAAAUGGCAGAGUUAUAAGCAACUGUUAACAUUUCAUACCUCUGUUUCACUCCUAUCAUUCAAGUGUAAGAGUAGAGCAAGUGUCCUUCUACUUAGCAGUGGGGACAUUAUCACUGUUGUACCUGUUCUGCCUUUUGUGCUUCAAGGCAUUUGCAGUAAAAUGACUCAAUCACGGAGCUGUUGCUUUGGGGCAUACGAUAGAGAAUUUGACUCGCUUAUCCUCAUGAAGUGGCCAUAAAUCACCAUUUGAUUUCAUCAUAGUCUCAAUGGACCUUAUAGCUUCUCUCUGUCCAUUUGAAGUUCACAUUUUGUCACAUCAUGAGGCACAUCCUAAGCACGCUUCCUUUGAGAUCCGCUGCAUGCUACAAAGCAACACUAGUUUAUGUAUUAAUGAAUAUAGUUAUUACGUAGUAUUUUCCCAACACGAGUGGAUGACCUUGGGAAUUUUGCUACAGUUGUAUUUUGAUGCAAUAAAGGUGUUGUGGCAAAGAUAGCAUCAUAACAUUGCAUUCUUACGAGGUUAUGCAAUUUGAUGUUUGUAAACGAGAUGCUAAAUAGUAUUAAAAUAACCAUUUGGCGAGUUUCUAUUCAUUCA